ACUGAGACACGGCCCAAACUCCUACGGGAGGCUGCAGUAGGGAAUCUUCCACAAUGGGCGAAAGCCUGAUGGAGCAACGCCGCGUGUGUGAUGAAGGCUUUCGGGUCGUAAAGCACUGUUGUAUGGGAAGAACAGCUAGAAUAGGAAAUGAUUUUAGUUUGACGGUACCAUACCAGAAAGGGACGGCUAAAUACGUGCCAGCAGCCGCGGUAAUACGUAUGUCCCGAGCGUUAUCCGGAUUUAUUGGGCGUAAAGCGAGCGCAGACGGUUUAUUAAGUCUGAUGUGAAAGCCCGGAGCUCAACUCCGGAAUGGCAUUGGAAACUGGUUAACUUGAGUGCAGUAGAGGUAAGUGGAACUCCAUGUGUAGCGGUGGAAUGCGUAGAUAUAUGGAAGAACACCAGUGGCGAAGGCGGCUUACUGGACUGCAACUGACGUUGAGGC
rnacentral:rRNA from 1 species